UACGGAAGGCAGCAGUGGGGAAUAUUGCACAAUGGGCGAAAGCCUGAUGCAGCUAUGCCGCGUGUAUGAAGAAGGCCUUAGGGUUGUAAAGUACUUUCAUCGGGGAGGAAAAAACAAAACUAAUAAUUUUAUUUCUUGACGUUACCCGAAAAAGAAGCACCGGCUAACUCCGUGCCAGCAGCCGCGGUAAUACGGAGGGUGCUAGCGUUAAUCAGAAUUACUGGGCGUAAAGAGCACGUAGGUGGUUUUUUUAAGUUCAGAUGUGAAAUCCCUGGGCUUAACCUAGGAACUGCAUUUUGAAACUGAAAUACUAGAGUAUCGUAGAGGGAGGUAGAAUUCUAGGUGUAGCGGUGAAAUGCGUAGAUAUCUGGAGGAAUACCUGUGGCGAAAGCGGCCUCCUAAACGAAUACUGACACUGAGGGUGCGAAAGCGUGGGGAGCAAACAGGAUUAGAUACC
rnacentral:rRNA from 1 species